ACUUAAAGUGUCUGUAUUUUUAAACAUUAAAUUCAGUUAUUUAAUUAACCUUUUUCAAUUUCUCAAUAGCAAUUACAACAAAUAAUUGCUUUCUUAUUUAGGUCACCCAGACAGUCGGCUGCUCAUUCAGCUCAAUCUUCUGCCUGUUGCGGCUCAUUCACAUGUUGCUGCUCCUCCUUAAAUCUCCUGAUAUUUUCCCAGCGUAUACAUCCUGGUUGUAUCUGUACUUUUUCAGAACAUUCUGCUAAACCCGACCUUGCUUCUUCCCCUCACCGUGGUUCAUCAAACUUGCUGAUAAUUUGGCCCUGUGUUGGACUUCAUUCCUCAUAGCUCUACCUUUCGAUUUUAUUUAGUUUUUCAAUUACAUUUCAUGUUGGCAUUUAACUUUUGUGGGGCAACAUUUUAUUUCCUGAUUCUUUAACCACAAGUAAAAGUGAGCAGGGAGGAGUAACAAUAUAAUGGAAAUACCUGACAGCGUGUGAAUAAUUAACAACAAAAGAAAUUCACAGAAAAUACAAAAUGAGAACCCUAAAGGUCAUAAGUUACUCCAUUGAAUUUCUCUUUGCAUUUCUGUUUUAAGAUUACUUUUGAUUUAUUUAAAAUAUAGUAUAAUAUGCAUUGUAUUAGAGAAGAACUUUGAAAAAUCAAUGUGUGCAUGGCUGCAAUGAGCAAUCCCUGUAAAUCAAAAGAUCCAUUUGAAUAUGUAUAAAAGGUUUAUUCAUUUUAAAUGACACUUUGGGUCAUUAUAAUCAACGUACAGACACAUUGUCUUAUCACACUUAACACAAAUCAUAAGAUAAAACUGAGUGAAUCAGGUCUCUGAAGAAGCUAUUAAAAGCGUAUUGAGGAAGUCACAGUGCACCUGCACAUUUUAAACACACAACUUGAUUUUAACUUUUGUCUUACAUUUCCUCUCUGUCUUAGUUUCCCAUUGUGAAAAAAUAACCAAAAGAAAAAAUAUUAUUAGAAGUCAGAAUAAGAUACCAACCUGUGAGCCCAAACAGGAUGAGCCUGAAAUCCAUCAGUAAAACCUUGAGAAAAAAUAAAGUAUCCAGAUAAUAUCUUCUAAAUCCAAACACUAUGAAUGCAUUUCACAACUUAUACAAGCUAAUAACCUAUAAGCUGCAAAGCACACCUUAACAAAAUCCUGAGAAGUACUGCAUGUUUAUAGGUAUUUGAGGUGGGUCUGGCAAUCAGUUACCAACAUCUGACAGUACAGGAAUGAGGAUGAGCGUAUUUUGAAAACAAAAGAUAUCAGGCAACAAAGCAGAGAAACGUCAUUGGAUGCACCAGUAUUUAACAACACUAGAGUUCAUAGAAAUUCACUUUGCAUUAAGGCUUUCUUAAAUCAAAAGUCUAUUGCCAAUAUUAUAAUUUGUGAGACUAAAAAGUCAUGUAAGCAGGUCGUCAGCAGCACAGGAGCAGCAGAGGAGAUUGUACUCUGAGUGUUUUCACUCAAUGUCAAACUUCUAGUAAAAGUCAGAAUCCAGUCAUCUGUAGAAAUAUUCAGAUUAUUUUGCAGCUUUCUGGGUCUAUCAGAGGUGAACAAGAAACUUUGUGCAAAAUUGGCAAAAUGCUUAAAUCCAUGAUGUGAGAACAACCUUGAAGAAAACUAAAUAAAUUGGGUCAUUAUAAAUUGUAGAAAAGACAAAAAAGGUCAAACAUUUUUACCAUGAGUAAAAUGUAAAUAUCUUGGUGUUAAACUGGAUUAGAGGCUGGAUUGUUGGGCUCAUCUGCUACUACAAAGACAGAGUGAUAACCUUGAGCAUGUUGGAGCAUAAAUAUGUUUCAAAGAUAAAUAUGAUAAAAAGAACAUCUCUUUAAAUGAACCCACAAACCACUUCUUAUCACAAGAUAUAAUUUACCAAAAUAAUGUCUGGUAAAGCUGUUUCAUUUGUUGCAGUGAAAUAGUUGGAAGAUCCAAACAGAAAGCUAAAGAAGCUGGAAGGACAGAACACAUAUUUUAUUUAGAAGCUUAGAAAAUCUAUAGAAGAUAAAAGAGACAGAUGAGUAUUGUCUUAACAAUGAAGUAUCUCUGAAAAUCCAAAUAAAGUAUUGAUUUUCCACAAUAAAGCUCUGUAAAAUGUAAAAGAAAGAAAACUAUAGUGAAACAGAAAACAGACACAUUAAACAAAAACUUAAAUCAUCCAUGCUUUUGUGAACAAGCAAGCUGACAGAGUAAAUCUGUGCAGAUUAUCUCAUCAUAGAUCUGGGUUUAGCCAGCAUUUUCUUCUUUUCACAUUGAAACUCUAACUUCAAACAGUUUGCAUCAAAUCUUUGUAUUAAAAUAUAUUCAAAUUAUUUACCUCGACUAACAUUUCUAUAUUAGAGAUGUUAUAAACAAAUGUUGGUUUUAUUUCUGUUUUCACACUGAGCUUAGCUUUGGUUUGAUCACUGAGUUUACUUUAGUGGUCCUAUUAUUAAUUAUUUGCAAUUAAAUCAUAUUGUAAAGCAUAAAGUUAAUAGUGUUUCAAAUGUGUGCCAUCUGUUCUUCAGAGUAAUAGAAUAAGGAACAGAAACACAAAGACACAUUUUGCACAUUUGGUUAUGUUGUCUCCUAAAUCUGUCAUGAGUUCAGUUGUUUGUGAGGCAUUACUUCUAAGAACAAGAGGUGACAAUAAUAAACUGAAAGGGUUGAGUUACAGGAAAUAUCUGUUUUAAAACGGGUUCUGAGUAUAGCUUCGGCUUCAAAUAGUUUUAAAGAACUCUCAUUACCUCAUACUGGCUGUCACAUAGUUUGGUUGUCACUGUCAGGACCAAAAUACUGAUCUCUGUGUCACUGAAACCUGUGGUAAAUACUUACACCGCCACCUGGUGGUGGGAGAUCAGAAUAACACAUUCACGUAAUGGCCAGGGGAGCAAAAUGGAGUCACACUGACUUAAGUUUUGCUUCUUCAUACUUUUACUUUGUCACAUACCUAAGUUUUUGUUUUCAUGUUUUUUUUCAAGCUUCUGCAUCUAGCUUUCAGUAUUUCGACUAACAUAUUUUUUUCAAUAAAAAGAAACCAAUUCAUUGAUCCCUAAAACUGUAUUUAGAGGCAACACAAUCAUAGAAAAAAUGUACACAAAUUAUUAAUGAAAAUACAAGAAAUUCUUAAUUCAGUUCUUGGUAAA